UCUAUACGUAAUAGAUGCAAUUUUAUUUAUAAACUAUAAAGUGACAAAAUAAGUUGUUAAAUAUAACAAGGAAAAAUAUGGUAGAAAUGAUAAAGUUUAUUUAUGUUAUGAUUAUUAUUUUCUUUCUAUUUUUUGUUGCAACGAACAUUGAAGGUGUCAUAUAUUCUGGUGAGCCAUCAACUUCAAAGAAUAUGUGUUUCUCCCUUUCAGAAAACAGAAUGCACAAUGGCAGAUACAGAAACUAAGUUAUGGCAUAGAAAGCUUGGGAGUACAAGGAACUUUGUUGUAGAGAAAGGUGACAUUUGUAUGUCUGAUCUCAAAAUUGAAAAAGGUAAAAUUUAUGACAUUUGUCAAGUUGGGAAGCAAACCAAGAUGUUUCAACAUCUUACUCGUGUUUCUGAAUGACCACUUAUUAAACUUUAUAAGACUCAUGCAAGGAGUUUUCAUUGAAGUGAAGGUCGAUGGUCAGGUCGGAGGUCUUCCCAACAUUGAACAACCAAUGGUGGUUCAGAAGAAGAAGUUAAAGAAGAUUAGUGAUUAUGUCAUAAUUCUUCCUAUUGGGGUUCCUUAUCAUAUUUCUGGAAUUUUCACUAUUCAAAAACAUGACAAUGUGUUUGGUAAAAUUGAAAUUGGUGUUCAUCUUAGUUUGCUGAAUUUCACUGAUAAGUUGUAUGUCACAUGCCCCAGACAUUGUUCUCCAUAAUAUUCCACUUAUUAAUAAUGUGAUCCUUGAAAAUAAUUUUUUGAGUGAUAAUGAUCAUGUCCAUGUAGUUAUUGUAGCCCAUAUUGAUGUUUUUAAUAACUAUAAUAAGACAGUGAUGAGAUCAUUAUUGAAAAAAGGCUUGACUUGUAGCACAAGACUAUGAUCAAAUCAAAAAGGUUGACUUUGAUGAAGAUUCUACUCCUAUUGCUCAUCUUGAAGUCGUCACAAUGUUGGUAGGUUUGUCUUAUAACCUUAUGUUCACACUUUAUCAGAUGGAUGUGAAAAAUAUUUUCUUCAAUAAAUAUUUGAAUCUAGAAGUCAAUCAAAAUGUUAAUAAUUAAGUUCGUACACCCCAUUAAUGCAUAAAUAUAUUUUCCAACAAUAAUAUUAAUAUUUUAUGAUUUUUCCCUUCCCCAUUACAACAUAAAGUAAUGGCAAUUUGAUUAAAAAAGAAUAUAUUAUUACGAUAGAUAAGUUUUAUCUCAAAUUUUUGUAGAUGUGUUGAAGAGACAAACACAACACAAUGAUAUACUUUAAAAGUUAUAUAAUAAUUAUUUUAAUUUAAAGAUUUGUUUUACAACUCCUUAAGUGUUAUCAAUUAAAAAUUAAUAAAAGGAGAGGAUACACUUUUAUUUAUAAACCAUAAUAAAGUUACAAAAUAGUUUGUUAAAUAUAACAAGGAGAAAUAUGGUUGAAAUAAUAAAGUUUCGUUAUAUUAUGAUUAUUUUGUUGUUUCUAUUUCUUGCAACGAACAUCGAAGGUAAGGUUUAUUUAUCAAUAACUCUAUCAUCUCUAUUUAUAUAAAUGAUGGUGCAUUCUACACUACAUAAAUGUAUUGGUGCAAUCAAAACCCUCCAAAAGUGUCAACAAAAUCUCAACCGUUUAAAAAACUAAAAAUUAAAACAUACCGGAAAUUUAGUUAAUUUUAAAAUUUCCGAUAUACCGAAAAUUUGAAAAUUUCGGUAUACCAAAAAUUUCAAAAUUAACUAAAUUUCCGAUAAGUUUUACUGAAAAAUUUUCUUCUAACUGAAAUUGUCGAAAAUUUUGGAGUGGAUACAAGGAACUUAUUUCGAAAAUUCUUUAUUUUUCAACUUGUUUCAUCAAGUUUAAAAUUGGGUUUAAAAAAAUUGGAGGGUGGCAAAGAUAAAAAUUACUAUAAUAUUGAAAUUAGAGAGUAUAUAUUAUUCACCGAAAACGAUAAAGGAAUUGUUGCAUGUAAGUCUAGUGGCUUGUCUAUGGAAUUUGGAAUCUUAAUGUUUACGGUUCAAUUCUUAGUUAUCUAACUUUUUUACCAAAGAUGCACCAACCACAUAUAUGUAUUGAUAUGUCAAACCAAAUUUUUAAUAAAAAUUAAUUUUUAUAUAAUCAAAUUUAAUUUUUGUUGUAAUUUAUUGUAACCCUUAUAAUUUAUUUUAGUAUAAUGUUUAGGACUAGUUAUAAGUAAUAAUUAAAUAUUUAAAAAUUUAUCAU